rnacentral:rRNA from 1 species
GACGAACGCUGGCGGCGUGCCUAACACAUGCAAGUCGAACGGAACUGUUUUGAAAGAUUUCUUCGGAAUGAAUUUGAUUUAGUUUAGUGGCGGACGGGUGAGUAACGCGUGAGUAACCUGCCUUCAAGAGGGGGAUAACAUUCUGAAAAGGAUGCUAAUACCGCAUGACAUAUCGGAACCACAUGGUUUUGAUAUCAAAGAUUUUAUCGCUUGAAGAUGGACUCGCGUCCGAUUAGUUAGUUGGUGAGGUAACGGCUCACCAAGACCGCGAUCGGUAGCCGGACUGAGAGGUUGAACGGCCACAUUGGGACUGAGACACGGCCCAGACUCCUACGGGAGGCAGCAGUGGGGGAUAUUGCGCAAUGGGGGCAACCCUGACGCAGCAACGCCGCGUGAAGGAUGAAGGUUUUCGGAUUGUAAACUUCUUUUAUUAAGGACGAAAAAUGACGGUACUUAAUGAAUAAGCUCCGGCUAACUACGUGCCAGCAGCCGCGGUAAUACGUAGGGAGCAAGCGUUGUCCGGAUUUACUGGGUGUAAAGGGUGCGUAGGCGGCUUUGCAAGUCAGAUGUGAAAUCUAUGGGCUCAACCCAUAAACUGCAUUUGAAACUGUAGAGCUUGAGUGAAGUAGAGGCAGGCGGAAUUCCCCGUGUAGCGGUGAAAUGCGUAGAGAUGGGGAGGAACACCAGUGGCGAAGGCGGCCUGCUGGGCUUUAACUGACGCUGAGGCACGAAAGCGUGGGUAGCAAACAGG